AACCCAUAGUGAGGGCACCGUCUUAAUAAGUCAUUAUACCUCUCCCAUGCAUCAUAAAACAUUUCUAAAUUCAUCUGCGCGAAGAAAGAGAUAUCAUUCCUCAACUU
rfam:Gossypium arboreum cultivar AKA8401 contig_10088_1, whole genome shotgun sequence.